rnacentral:rRNA from 1 species
GAUUAAGUUAUUAAGGGCGCACGGUGGAUGCCUUGGCACUAGAAGCCGAUGAAGGACGUUACUAACGACGAUAUGCUUUGGGUAGCUGUAAGUAAGCGUCGAUCCAGAGAUUUCCGAAUGGGGAACCCAGCAUGAGUUAUGUCAUGUUAUCGACAUGUGAAUUCAUAGCAUGUCAGAAGGCAGACCCGGAGAACUGAAACAUCUUAGUACCCGGAGGAAGAGAAAGAAAAUCGAUUCCCUGAGUAGCGGCGAGCGAAACGGGAAGAGCCCAAACCAACAAGCUUGCUUGUUGGGGUUGUAGGACACUCUAUACGGAGUUACAAAAGAACAUGUUAGACGAAUCAUCUGGAAAGAUGAAUCAAAGAAGGUAAUAAUCCUGUAGUCGAAAACAUAUUCUCUCUUGAGUGGAUCCUGAGUACGACGGAGCACGUGAAAUUCCGUCGGAAUCUGGGAGGACCAUCUCCUAAGGCUAAAUACUCUCUAGUGACCGAUAGUGAACCAGUACCGUGAGGGAAAGGUGAAAAGUAAGGGGAGUGAAAGAGAACUUGAAACCGUGUGCUUACAAGUAGUCAGAGCCCGUUAAUGGGUGAUGGCGUGCCUUUGUAGAAUGAACCGGCGAGUUACGAUCUGAUGCAAGGUUAAGCAGCAAAUGUGGAGCCGCAGCGAAAGCGAGUCUGAAUAGGGCGUUGAGUAUUUGGUCGUAGACCCGAAACCAGGCGAUCUACCCUUGGUCAGGUUGAAGUUCAGGUAACACUGAAUGGAGGACCGAACCGACUUACGUUGAAAAGUGAGCGGAUGAACUGAGGGUAGCGGAGAAAUUCCAAUCGAACUUGGAGAUAGCUGGUUCUCUCCGAAAUAGCUUUAGGGCUAGCCUCAAGUGAUGAUUAUUGGAGGUAGAGCACUGUUUGGACGAGGGGCCCUCUCGGGUUACCGAAUUCAGACAAACUCCGAAUGCCAAUUAAUUUAACUUGGGAGUCAGAACAUGGGUGAUAAGGUCCGUGUUCGAAAGGGAAACAGCCCAGACCACCAGCUAAGGUCCCAAAAUAUAUGUUAAGUGGAAAAGGAUGUGGCGUUGCCCAGACAACUAGGAUGUUGGCUUAGAAGCAGCCAUCAUUUAAAGAGUGCGUAAUAGCUCACUAGUCGAGUGACACUGCGCCGAAAAUGUACCGGGGCUAAACAUAUUACCGAAGCUGUGGAUUGUCCUUUGGACAAUGGUAGGAGAGCGUUCUAAGGGCGUCGAAGCACGAUCGCAAGGACAUGUGGAGCGCUUAGAAGUGAGAAUGCCGGUGUGAGUAGCGAAAGACGGUGAGAAUCCCGUCCACCGAUUGACUAAGGUUUCCAGAGGAAGGCUCGUCCGCUCUGGGUUAGUCGGGUCCUAAGCUGAGGCCGACAGGCGUAGGCGAUGGAUAACAGGUUGAUAUUCCUGUACCACCUAGUAUCGUUUUAAUCGAUGGGGGACGCAGUAGGAUAGGCGAAGCGUGCUGUUGGAGUGCACGUCCAAGCAGUAAGGCUGAGUGUUAGGCAAAUCCGGCACUCAUAAGGCUGAGCUGUGAUGGGGAGAGGAAAUUGUUUCCUCGAGUCGUUGAUUUCACACUGCCGAGAAAAGCCUCUAGAUAGAUAACAGGUGCCCGUACCGCAAACCGACACAGGUAGUCAAGAUGAGAAUUCUAAGGUGAGCGAGCGAACUCUCGUUAAGGAACUCGGCAAAAUGACCCCGUAACUUCGGGAGAAGGGGUGCUCUUUAGGGUUCACGCCCAGAAGAGCCGCAGUGAAUAGGCCCAAGCGACUGUUUAUCAAAAACACAGGUCUCUGCUAAACCGUAAGGUGAUGUAUAGGGGCUGACGCCUGCCCGGUGCUGGAAGGUUAAGAGGAGUGGUUAGCUUCUGCGAAGCUACGAAUCGAAGCCCCAGUAAACGGCGGCCGUAACUAUAACGGUCCUAAGGUAGCGAAAUUCCUUGUCGGGUAAGUUCCGACCCGCACGAAAGGCGUAACGAUUUGGGCACUGUCUCAACGAGAGACUCGGUGAAAUCAUAGUACCUGUGAAGAUGCAGGUUACCCGCGACAGGACGGAAAGACCCCGUGGAGCUUUACUGUAGCCUGAUAUUGAAAUUCGGCACAGCUUGUACAGGAUAGGUAGGAGCCUUUGAAACGUGAGCGCUAGCUUACGUGGAGGCGUUGGUGGGAUACUACCCUAGCUGUGUUGGCUUUCUAACCCGCACCACUUAUCGUGGUGGGAGACAGUGUCAGGCGGGCAGUUUGACUGGGGCGGUCGCCUCCUAAAAGGUAACGGAGGCGCUCAAAGGUUCCCUCAGAAUGGUUGGAAAUCAUUCAUAGAGUGUAAAGGCAUAAGGGAGCUUGACUGCGAGACCUACAAGUCGAGCAGGGUCGAAAGACGGACUUAGCGAUCCGGUGGUUCCGCAUGGAAGGGCCAUCGCUCAACGGAUAAAAGCUACCCGGGGAUAACAGGCUUAUCUCCCCAAGAGUUCACAUCGACGGGGAGGUUUGGCACCUCGAUGUCGGCUCAUCGCAUCCUGGGGCUGUAGUCGGUCCCAAGGGUUGGGCUGUUCGCCCAUUAAAGCGGUACGCGAGCUGGGUUCAGAACGUCGUGAGACAGUUCGGUCCCUAUCCGUCGUGGGCGUAGGAAAUUUGAGAGGAGCUGUCCUUAGUACGAGAGGACCGGGAUGGACAUACCUCUGGUGUACCAGUUGUCGUGCCAACGGCAUAGCUGGGUAGCUAUGUAUGGACGGGAUAAGUGCUGAAAGCAUCUAAGCAUGAAGCCCCCUCAAGAUGAGAUUUCCCAACUUCGGUUAUAAGAUCCUCGAAGAUGACGAGGUUAAUAGGUUCGAGGUGGAAGCGUGGUGACACGUGGAGCUGACGAAUACUAAUCGAUCGAAGACUUAAUCAA